rnacentral:rRNA from 1 species
GAUGAACGCUGGCGGCGUGCCUAAUACAUGCAAGUCGAGCGAAUGGAUUAAGAGCUUGCUCUUAUGAAGUUAGCGGCGGACGGGUGAGUGACACGUGGGUAACCUGCCCAUAAGACUGGGAUAACUCCGGGAAACCGGGGCUAAUACCGGAUAACAUUUUGAACCGCAUGGUUCGAAAUUGAAAGGCGGCUUCGGCUGUCACUUAUGGAUGGACCCGCGUCGCAUUAGCUAGUUGGUGAGGUAACGGCUCACCAAGGCAACGACGCGUAGCCGACCUGAGAGGGUGAUCGGCCACACUGGGACUGGGACACGGCCCAGAAUCCUACGGGAGGUAGCAGUAGGGAAUCUUCCGCAAUGGACGAAAGUCUGACGGAGCAACGCCGCGUGAGUGAUGAAGGCUUUCGGGUCGUAAAACUCUGUUGUUAGGGAAGAACAAGUGCUAGUUGAAUAAGCUGGCACCUUGACGGUACCUAACCAGAAAGCCACGGCUAACUACGUGCCAGCCGCCGCGGUAA